AGCUAAAUAAUUGCAUUUUCGCAACCCUUUCGCCAAUUUUUUUCGUGAAAAAACGUGUAAUUUUACGAAAAAUUGCGCGCAUGGGUUGCGAAAACGCAUUAACCGCACGG
ensembl:miRNA mir-5546 miscRNA